UGUUUGUAUACAUGUACAUAUAUUUAGUACGAUUCAGUUUUCAGUUACUGCAUUACGAGUAAUCUUAAUUAUCUUAAAUACAUUAAAAAAAUACAUAAAAUAUUUGUUUUGUUUAAUUCUUUAAAUUGUAUAUAAAUAAGCUAACGGUAUAUUUAUAUUUUUGUUUUUAUUGUGUACAUAUGUAUUUCUCUAUAUACUUAUAUACGUAUGCACUCUCAGAUAUCGAAAUGCGAAACGACUUCGACUUUUCGACAGUUCGGCUCACUUAGUUGUUGUUGUUGUUGCUGCUGCUGUUGGGUUGUUACUGUAACGGUUUCUGGCUCUGCGGUUCCCUUUUAGGCACAUUUUCUAAUGAUUCUGCUCAAGCUAACAAGUUUUGAAAUUAAAUGAAAAAGUGUGGUGGCAACGCCACGUUGCCGGGCUGGCAGCACCUCGCGGCAAGGCCACUCGAUAAAUUAAUAAAGUGCUUAAUAGAUUUAUCGAUCAAUCACACCAAUCUGUCGCGCAUCGCAUAUCAAGCUGGCAACUCUCCCGCCAUUCCCAUUUAACGCGAUCAUUUGACAAGCGCAUCAAACUGUUAACUUAACGACAAAAACAAUAGUAAACGCGCCUAACGCCUCAAUUGCUAAUCAAUCUGUCAUUUCGCUCUGCUAAUAGGGGACUGCGUGUGUGUGUGUGUGUACAGGUGCUAGGUAGAUGGGGAUCAAUUGGGCACUUGACUAAAUAUUUAAAUCUAUGCUAGAUUUUAGCCGCUCACUUAGUAAAUAAAAUGCAAAGAAUAAAAUUGAAUCGUAUGCGCCCAAUGCGUGCACGUACCAGGGCUGCCAAAGCUGAGUUUUCAUUUGCUUCUUUAAGUCGUGUGUCAGUAUGUGUAUUUGUUGUGUGUUCUGUGUAUGUGUUUGUGUGGGAUUUUUCUUGUAACGGCCGCUGUAGUGCUGCACUUUUAGAUGCGCUUUGGAAUCGUAUCGAUGGCAUUAUUUUCAGGCUCUUCGUCCUUUGGUGGCUGACCGCGCUGCUG